rnacentral:rRNA from 1 species
GUAGGUGGCAAGCGUUGUCCGGAAUUAUUGGGCGUAAAGCGCGCGCAGGCGGUUCUUUAAGUCUGAUGUGAAAGCCCACGGCUCAACCGUGGAGGGUCAUUGGAAACUGGAGAACUUGAGUACAGAAGAGGAAAGCGGAAUUCCACGUGUAGCGGUGAAAUGCGUAGAGAUGUGGAGGAACACCAGUGGCGAAGGCGGCUUUCUGGUCUGUGACUGACGCUGAGGCGCGAAAGCGUGGGGGGAGCAAACAGGAUUAGAUACCCUGGUAGUCCACGCCGUAAACGAUGAGUGCUAAGUGUUAGGGGGUUUCCGCCCCCCCCUUAGUGCUGCAGCUAACGCAUUAAGCACUCCGCCUGGGAGUACGGCCGCAAGGCUG